GACAUGAUGGCUCAGUGGAUAGGGCGCCCGCUUCAUGAACGGGAGGUCGUGGGUUCGAACCCCGGCCGAGUCA
rnacentral:tRNA from 1 species